rnacentral:misc_RNA from 1 species
AACGCACAUUGCGCCCCUUGGUAUUCCGGGGGGCAUGCCUGUUCGAGCGUCAUUAUCACCCCUCAAGCUCAGCUUGGUGUUGGGGCCUGCCGUCACAGGCAGCCCCUAAAAGCAGUGGCGGUGCCGUCAGGCUCUAAGCGUAGUAAUACUCCUCGCUAUAGGGUCCUGGUGGUGUCCUGCCAAAACCCCCCAAUUUUUCAUGAUUGACCUCGGAUCAGGUAGGGAUACCCGCUGAACUUAA